AGUGAACGCUGGCGGCGUGCUUAACACAUGCAAGUCGAACGAGAACGGAUUAUAGCUUGCUAUAAUUGUCAGCUAAGUGGCGCACGGGUGAGUAAUGUAUAGGUAAUAUGCCUCUUACUAAGGGAUAACAAAUGGAAACGUUUGCUAAUACCUUAUACUCCUUAUUAACAUAAGUUAAUAAGGGAAAGAAUUAUUGGUAAGAGAUUAGCCUGUAUUGUAUCAGUUAGUUGGUGGGGUAAUGGCUUACCAAGACUAUGACACAUAACUGGUUUGAGAGGAUGAUCAGUCACACUGGAACUGAGACACGGUCCAGACUCCUACGGGAGGCAGCAGUGGGGAAUAUUGCACAAUGGACGAAAGUCUGAUGCAGCAACGCCGCGUGGAGGAUGACACAUUUCGGUGCGUAAACUCCUUUUAUAUGAGAAGGUAAUGACGGUAUUAUAUGAAUAAGCACCGGCUAACUCCGUGCCAGCCGCCGCCGUAA
rnacentral:rRNA from 1 species